rnacentral:rRNA from 1 species
UAGGGAUACUGCUAGACUUGAGGUCGAGAGAGGUCGGAGGUACUCCUGGGGUAGCGGUGAAGUGCUAUAAUCCUGGGGGGACCACCAGUGGCGAAAGCGUCCGACCAGAGCGAGCCUGACGGUAAGGGACGAAAGCCAGGGGAGCGAACGGGAUUAGAUACCCCGGUAGUCCUGGCCGUAAACGCUGUGGGCUAGGUGUUGCAUGCUCUACGAGGGCAUGCAGUGCCGAAGAGAAGUUGAUAAGCCUACCGCCUGGGAAGUACUAUCGCAAGAUAGAAACUUAAAGGAAUUGGCGGGGGAGCACCACAAGGGGUGAAGUCUGCGGUUCAAUUGGAUUCAACGCCGGAAAUCUCACUGGAGGCGACGGCAGAAUGAUGGCCAAGCUGAUGACUUUGCUUGACGAGCCGAGAGGAGGUGCAUGGCCGUCGUCAGCUCGUACCGUAA